UGAUAAUGAAAGUAAGGAAAUCAAUUAAUUAUAAAAUCAUCCACAACAUUGAAUAUUCAUAAUGAGGGCUUCAUCCUAAGCCCAACUAAAUGGAUUAGUUAGACAUAACUAUGAAUACAGAAAAUAAGAAAUACAUAGAUAGAAAAAAGAGAAGAGAAGAACUAGCUGGUGGCAGCAAGGUAGUUCCCAUGACAGCUCUAAGCUCUCCCUCCUUUUCAACUAGCUCUCUUUUCUCUUUGUGGUGAAUUUGAAUGCAUGAGUAAUGGAUGAAAUGAAUCUGUCUCUGUCUCUAUCUCUCUCCUUCUUGAAUGAAUGUGCAGCUCUCCAUUUAUAGAGUGCCAAUUUCGUCCUCCC
rnacentral:lncRNA from 1 species